GGGGUUGUGGCUCAGUGAUAGAGCGCUCACCUACCAUGCUUGAGGCACUGAGUUUGAUCCUCAGCACCACA
rnacentral:tRNA from 1 species